CACAAGCGGUGGAGUAUGUGGUUUAAUUCGAUGCAACGCGAAGAACCUUACCUGGUCUUGACAUCCCGGAGACCCUUAGGAAACUAGGGGGUGCUUCCAUCUGGAAGAAUCUGGAGACAGGUGCUGCAUGGCUGUCGUCAGCUCGUGUCGUGAGAUGUUGGGUUAAGUCCCGCAACGAGCGCAACCCUUGCCUUUAGUUGCCAGCAGUUCGGCUGGGCACUCUAAAGGGACUGCCGGUGUUAAACCGGAGGAAGGUGGGGAUGACGUCAAGUCCUCAUGGCCUUUAUGACCAGGGCUACACACGUACUACAAUGGCCGAUACAAAGGGCAGCGACACUGCGAGGUGAAGCCAAUCCCGUAAAAUCGGUCUCAGUCCGGAUCGCAGUCUGCAACUCGACUGCGUGAAGUCGGAAUCGCUAGUAAUCGUGAAUCAGAAUGUCACGGUGAAUACGUUCCCGGGCCUU
rnacentral:rRNA from 1 species